rnacentral:rRNA from 1 species
GUGGGGAAUAUUGCGCAAUGGAGGAAACUCUGACGCAGCGACGCCGCGUGGGUGAUGAAGGCCUUCGGGUUGUAAAGCCCUGUCGGCUGGGAAAAAGGUAGUCGUGCUAAUACCACGAUUGCUUGAUGGUACCAGCAAAGGAAGUAGCGGCUAACUCUGUGCCAGCAGCCGCGGUAAUACAGAGGCUACAAGCGUUGUUCGGAAUUACUGGGCGUAAAGGGCGCGUAGGCGGUUUUGUAAGUCAGAUGUGAAAUCCUGGGGCUUAACCCCAGAAGUGCAUUUGAAACUACAAAGCUAGAGUGCAGUAGAGAAUGGCGGAAUUCCCAGUGGAGAGGUGAAAUUCGUAGAUAUUGGGAGGAACACCGGUGGCGAAGGCGGCCAUUUGGGCUGUAACUGACGCUGAGGCGCGAAAGCGUGGGUAGCAAACAGGAUUAGAAACCCUAGUAGUCC